UGCAUUUGCCUAUAUGUCUCAUUGUAAUUCUCCCUGCUUGUUUGAUGCUGUGUUAGAGGUAGAAAGUCAUUUAAUGUGUGAUUCAGUCCUCUGCUAAACAGCCUGUUGAAGUGCUAAUGUUCGGUGCCAGAGGGUCUAGAGACUGAUUAGUUCAAGGAGAGAUCAUUGUUUCCAAGGAUCUGUAUUGAAGACCCCCACUGUGUGAGGGGGGGCGCAGAUUGUCAUUAACAGCUUGUAACCUGCAUAUAACCAGCUGAAUGCUGGCAUUAAAGUGUGUUGUUCCAGCAGUAA